AAGAAUAUGUAAUUGGUAAAGUUAUUGAAUUGUUUAUGCUAUAAGAAAUCCCCCCUUCAAAUGAAUUUCAUUGUCACUCUUUGGGCAUAAAUUUCUAUCUGUGAUAAAAAUAUGUACUUGAUGACUACAUCACAUAUUUAUCAUAGCUCUUUGCUUAGAACUUCUAAUGCAUUCCAGUCUUCAACGUUUACAUUGUAGAUUGAUAAUCUACAUCCGAGUCUUUUGGUACCGCAAAUCCCGGCGGCUUUUCUCAUGCAUUUUAAUGGAAACGUACCUCAGCAGUUCCACGUUCGAACCUCAGCUGGGACUUGGUGUGUUAAUGUGGAAAAAAUUAAUGACAGGUUCUUUUUCCAAAAGGGUUGGAAGAAAUUUGUUCAUGACACUGGUUUAGAGAUUUGUGAAUUCUUUCUUUUUCGAUAUGCCUUUAAUUUGAGAUUCUACGUUGACAUAUAUGGAAGAAAUGGCUGCAAAAAAGAGUUUGUAACAGUCACUGGGAAAACCGAGAGACCACAUGAAAAGGGACAUGAUCAUGUAAUUCAGAGAAAGACCCCAAGAAAUCAUGAAAAUCAGAAUGUAGAUAAUCGAGGCCUAAAAGGCUCCACUUAUGGAACUAGGACUAGUCAAGUAACUACUCCCAUACAAGAUGAAGGCUAUGAAGCAACUGAUGAUACUGAUUCUCAAACAUUGAUGCAUCCGCGGUGGCUACAAGUACUGGGAAAGCUUAUUCCCGUCGGAGAGACAAUGUUUUUGGAUCUGAAAACCCUUUUUUCAAGGUUGAAAUGCGGGACACAUAUAUCCAUAGAUGUUACUUGACCGUGCCUUCUAAAUUUGUUAAUGCACAUCUCAUUGAGCAGCCUAGUACCAUUACCCUUCGGGUUUCAGAUGGGAGAACUUGGCGAGUGAAAGUGGGAUUUCAAACAAGAGGGUGCCAAUUCUUAGCUGGUUGGAUCACAUUUGUGCGAGACAAUGAGUUAGAUGUUGGCGAUGUGUGUGUCUUUGUCUUGAUUAACAAGUUUGAAUUUUUAUUUGAAGCUGUCUUUUACCACAAGGAAGAAGCUGAAAAUCAUCACAUCUCGUCACCAGCAGGUAAGUAAUCUGCUAAGUUUAUCAAUUUCUGUUCUCUGUCUGCCCUCUGCAUAACAUACACUUGUUUUCUUCUUUCUUUUUCGUUUUGGGAAGACAAUCCACUUCAGAGAGCCAACGGUUUCAAUUCUGCAAACCCUUUGUUCAAAGUUGUAAUGCCGCACUCGUCUAUCCAUCACCGUAAUAUGGUUGAGCUAUUUGAAGUUGCCUUUUACCGCAAGCCAGAAGCUGCGAAUAUUUGCGCCUUGUGACCAGGAAAGCGAUGACGGUGGAUCAAUUGGAGUCGAGAAACUGAAAGAGAAGCGUCGUAGUUGUAGAUGAAGCUUCACCUCAUCACACGCUUCUCCUGCAAAAGAAGCAGUGGAGGCCUCCAAUUACUCAUUUGUUUUUCUGAAUACCUUUUUGCUGUACAUGAUGAGAGGAUCCAUUGGACAAUGCAGUGACCCUUCUUUUUA